AUUGAACGCUGGCGGCAUGCCUUCACAUGCAAGUCGAACGGUAACAGGUCUUCGGAUGCUGACGAGUGGCGAACGGGUGAGUAAUACAUCGGAACGUGCCUAGUAGUGGGGGAUAACUACUCGAAAGAGGGGCUAAUACCGCAUGAGAUCUAAGGAUGAAAGCGGGGGAGCGCAGGACGUUGUGCUACGAGAGCGGCCGAUGGCAGAUUAGGUAGUUGGUGGGAUAAAAGCUUACCAAGCCGACGAUCUGUAGCUGGUCUGAGAGGACGAUCAGCCACACUGGGACUGAGACACGGCCCAGACUCCUACGGGAGGCAGCAGCGGGGAAUUUUGGACAAUGGGCGCAAGCCUGAUCCAGCAAUGCCGCGUGCAGGAUGAAGGCCUUCGGGUUGUAAACUGCUUUUGUACGGAACGAAAAGCCCCGGGUUAAUACCCUGGGGUCAUGACGGUACCGUAAGAAUAAGCACCGGCUAACUACGUGCCAGCCGCCGCCGUAA
rnacentral:rRNA from 1 species